GCCCUGGUAGUGUAGCUGGAUAUCACGUAGGACUGCGGAUCCUAUUACCCGGGUUCAAGUCCCGGCCAGGGCA
rnacentral:tRNA from 1 species